rnacentral:rRNA from 1 species
UCCGGGGCUUAGUGCCGCAGCUAACGCAUUAAGCACUCCGCCUGGGGAGUACGACCGCAAGGUUGAAACUCAAAGGAAUUGACGGGGGCCCGCACAAGCGGUGGAGCAUGUGGUUUAAUUCGAAGCAACGCGAAGAACCUUACCAGGUCUUGACAUCCCGAUGCCCGCUCUAGAGAUGGAGUUUUACUUCGGUACAUCGGUGACAGGUGGUGCAUGGUUGUCGUCAGCUCGUGUCGUGAGAUGUUGGGUUAAGUCCCGCAACGAGCGCAACCCUUAUUGUUAGUUGCCAUCAUUCAGUUGGGCACUCUAGCGAGACUGCCGGUAAUAAACCGGAGGAAGGUGGGGAUGACGUCAAAUCAUCAUGCCCCUUAUGACCUGGGCUACACACGUGCUACAAUGGCUGGUACAACGAGUCGCAAGUCGGUGACGGCAAGCUAAUCUCUUAAAGCCAGUCUCAGUUCGGAUUGUAGGCUGCAACUCGCCUACAUGAAGUCGGAAUCGCUAGUAAUCGCGGAUCAGCACGCCGCGGUGAAUACGUUCCCGGGCCUUGUACACACCGCCCGUCACACCACGAGAGUUUGUAACACCCGAAGUCGGUGAGGUAACCUUUUAGGAGCCA